UACGUAGGGUGCGAGCGCUAAUCGGAAUUACUGGGCGUAAAGCGUGCGCAGGCGGUGAUGUAAGACCGAUGUGAAAUCCCCGGGCUUAACCUGGGAACUGCAUUGGUGACUGCAUCGCUCGAGUAUGGCAGAGGGGGGUAGAAUUCCACGUGUAGCAGUGAAAUGCGUAGAGAUGUGGAGGAAUACCGAUGGCGAAGGCAGCCCCCUGGGUCAAUACUGACGCUCAUGCACGAAAGCGUGGGGAGCAAACAGG
rnacentral:rRNA from 1 species